AAUUCACUUAUUAUCUCAACAGCCGCAUGUCUCUUUCUCCCUCUUCCACUCUUUCUUUCUCUAUCAAAUAGCAAAAGCUGCUGCCGGUCACCGUAUCUAGUGAGACGCCGGAGCAGUGGCGCCCCAUCGCCGGCCUCCUCUCUCUGCUCUCCCGUUUCCAGCCGUGGCAAUACCCACCAGCCACUGCUCCAGCGUCGACUCCAUCUCUGUCGCUCAACCGGCGAAAUUCAACAGCCAACUCCACCGCUGGCCACCAAAUCCGAACCAACCGCCAUAACAGCCAACUUCGGUCGCCGUACCAUCAUUUUGGCCAGCGAAAUCAGUCUCACCAGUGGACGCCAACCAUGGACGAUGAAUCUCCAACCAACACCGCCAUUGCUCCACCCGUUUCCGAUAAAAAAAUCAGUCCAUUACCAUCGUCACUCCGUUAAAUGUCAACGGAAGAAUCUUAAGUACAUGACGAAUUCACAUGCGAAUCCGUCUUAGAUGAAACUUGAUUAUAGCUGGAUAUAUCAAUGAAAUAUUGAUAAUAAAAUGGGUGAGGCUGAGAAUGAAGAUGCGGAUGAUGAGUUGUAGUUUUUAGUCUUUUGUAUGUUUUAUAGUUUGAAUUUGGAAUCUCGAUAAAUUUUGUAAAUAAUUUGAUUUUUAAUCUUUAUAUUCUUAUGGUGAUUGGUUGAUUGUAUAUUAAAUGAUUGACGGACUGUAUUGUAAAUAAUUUGAUUUGAUUUUUAAUGUUC